rnacentral:rRNA from 1 species
AGAGUUUGAUCAUGGCUCAGAAUCAACGCUGGCGGCGUGCCUAACACAUGCAAGUCGAACGCGAAAGGGGCUUCGGCCCUGAGUAGAGUGGCGAACGGGUGAGUAACGCGUGGGUGAUCUACCUUCAAGUGGGGGAUAACGUUCCGAAAGGAGCGCUAAUACCGCAUGACGUUCCGGGUUUAAAGACCUGGAAACCAAAGCCGGGGACCGCAAGGCCUGGCGCUGGAAGAGGAGCCCGCGUCCGAUUAGCUAGUUGGCGGGGUAACGGCCCACCAAGGCGACGAUCGGUAGCCGGCCUGAGAGGGCGGACGGCCACACUGGAACUGAGACACGGUCCAGACUCCUACGGGAGGCAGCAGUGGGGAAUUGUUCACAAUGGGCGCAAGCCUGAUGACGCAACGCCGCGUGGGGGAUGAAGGUCUUCGGAUUGUAAACCCCUGUCGAAUGGGACGAAAGACCCGGGAGCUAAUCAUCCCGGGAGUGACGGUACCGUUAAAGGAAGCCACGGCUAACUCUGUGCCAGCAGCCGCGGUAAUACAGAGGUGGCAAGCGUUGUUCGGAAUUACUGGGCGUAAAGGGCGCGUAGGCGGCCAUCUAAGUCAGACGUGAAAUCCCCCGGCUUAACCUGGGAACUGCGUCUGAUACUGGACGGCUUGAGUAUGGGAGAGGGAUGUAGAAUUCCAGGUGUAGCGGUGAAAUGCGUAGAUAUCUGGAGGAAUACCGGUGGCGAAGGCGGCAUCCUGGACCAUUACUGACGCUGAGGCGCGAAAGCUAGGGGAGCAAACGGGAUUAGAUACCCCGGUAGUCCUAGCCCUAAACGAUGAAUGCUUGGUGUGGCGGGUAUCGAUCCCUGCCGUGCCGAAGCUAACGCAUUAAGCAUUCCGCCUGGGGAGUACGGUCGCAAGGCUGAAACUCAAAGGGAU